rfam:Beta vulgaris subsp. vulgaris Bvchr4.sca005.con0081.1, whole genome shotgun sequence.
CUUUUUUUCGACAAAUAAAUAACAAUACCAGGCUCUUUGAGUCUGGUAAUUGGAAUGAGUACAAUCUAAAUCCCUUAACGAGGAUCCAUUGGAGAGCAAGUCUGGUGCCAGCAGCCGCGGUAAUUCCAGCUCCAUUAG